rnacentral:lncRNA from 1 species
AACAAUAAUCAGGCUCUGAUUUGUAGCAUUUGUCAAUUUGUUUGAUGUAAAUAUUCCCACCAUCGCUGAUUUCAAGCCACCAACAUGAGUUACUGCAGGAGGUGUUGAACAGAGAUGCUCAGUAGCGCACCUUCAUAUGGUAUUUCUGCCAUACAUAUACAAUAGAUGUAAACAACCUCAACAGCAUAGGUAAUUGAAAGAUGGGAUAAAUAGGAAGUGAUGAAUUUUUGGCAUUCAUUAGCUUUGUUUUUGUUAUAAUGUAUUUAAUUGUAAAUUUGCCUAAGUUAAUUUUUAAUAACUGUUUGACAACCAGCUCACGAAAUUCCUGAAAUUUUACCAGUCCGUUCAUGAACCCGUAUGAGCUUCUCCUGCACACUACUUUAAGAAGAGUUCAAGGGCUUUCUCUUUCUUGAUCUCCAACAGGCUGUUGGUUAUUUUCCCUCUGGAAGGACCUCUUGUGCACCUGUCCUAUUGUCAUUAUUUCUUUCCAUGUUUGUCUGUGCAUCAGAGUAGUUUGUUGAGGGCUGAGAUUAUAGAUUAUAACUCAUUCAUCUUGGUAAUGGCCCAAUAAACCCAUAAAGUUUUUUGAUCAAAUGCAUAGGUCAGAGAUUUUCAAAUCUUAUUUCCAAAAGCCCAAGAAUUCUGCAGAAACAUCUCUGGGGUCCCCACAAGCUGACAGGAAGGCUGGAGUAGCAAUGCUCCAAAAGCCCAAAGAAAGUGCCACAGAAAAGAAGCAAUCAGCAAAUGAGAAGGAGCUCCUGGAAAUGAUUAUUGCUAAAAAUUAUUUUAAAAAAUCAAUUGAAAGCUUGAAAUGCAAAGUUAAGAAAAUCUCCCAGAACAUGGAGACAAUGGCAUAAAGUAUGGGAGGAAAAAAAUAUUCAAACAGGAUCAAUUCAGGAGGCCCAAUAUCCAACUAAGAGUAGGAGUUCCAGAACAAGAAAAGAAAGAAGAUGGAGGGGAGGGAAUUAUUGCAGAAAUAAUUACAUUUUAAAAGUCCCCAGAGCCAAAAAGGGACACCGAGUCUUUAAAUUGAAAGAGCUAAGAGAAUAUCAAGCAGAUAUAGAAUUGAGCAAUUUAAGAAUAUUAAAGAUUAAAGCAGAUCCUGGAUAUUUCUAUGGAAACUAGAACAUCAGCUCACAAAAACCAGAACAUUGACUCUGACAAAUAAACCGGAAUAAGGGUGACAUCAUAAUACUCUAUAGCAACGAUAGAGGCCCAGAGAAUAAUAGCCAACACUUAACAUGACGCCCACGAUGUGCAGGCACUGUUCUAAGCAUUUUACAUAUGUAAACUGGUUAAUCCUCAUCACAACUCCAUGAGUUUCCUGGUUGAAGGAUUAAUUAUCUGCUACCUGAUCUAAAGUUGAUAAAUGAAAAACAUCAGUAUUAACACAUGACAUG